rnacentral:lncRNA from 1 species
CCUCACCAGAUCCAGCCAUGCUGGCACCCUGAUUGCACACUUCCAGCCUCCACAACUAUAAGAACAGCAGCCAGAACAUUGACCAAAGGCUCUUGGAAGAAGAAACACAUUCAAGGCCAUUAGUCUGUGGUCACAUGUGUGUUCAGGCCUCCAACUCGCACUCACUCUAUCCUGACAAGUACAGAAGGUGAAAACAUUGCUAGACAGUCUGUUUCUAAGAGGUAUCAACC